CCUACGGGUGGCAGCAGUCGAGAAUCAUUCACAAUGGGGGAAACCCUGAUGGUGCGACGCCGCGUGGGGGAAUGAAGGUCUUCGGAUUGUAAACCCCUGUCAUGUGGGAGCAAAUUAAAAAGAUAGUACCACAAGAGGAAGAGACGGCUAACUCUGUGCCAGCAGCCGCGGUAAUACAGAGGUCGCAAGCGUUGUUCGGAAUCACUGGGCGUAAAGCGUGCGUAGGCUGUUUCGUAAGUCGUGUGUGAAAGGCGCGGGCUCAACCCGCGGACGGCACAUGAUACUGCGAGACUAGAGUAAGGUAGGGGGAACCGGAAUUCUCGGUGUAGCAGUGAAAUGCGUAGAUAUCGAGAGGAACACUCGUGGCGAAGGCGGGUUCCUGGACAUUAACUGACGCUGAGGCACGAAGGCCAGGGGAGCGAAAGGGAUUAGAUACCCCUGUAGUC
rnacentral:rRNA from 1 species